ACUAGAGUGUGGUAGGGGCGGAUGGAAUUCCUGGUGUAGCGGUGAAAUGCGUAGAUAUCGGGAAGAACACCAGUGGCGAAGGCGCUCUGCUGGGCCAUAACUGACGCUCAUGCACGAAAGCCAGGGGAGCGAACGGGAUUAGAUACCCCKGUAGUCCUGGCCGUAAACGAUGAACACUAGGUGUCGGGGGAAUCGACCCCCUCGGUGUCGUAGCCAACGCGUUAAGUGUUCCGCCUGGGGAGUACGCACGCAAGUGU
rnacentral:rRNA from 1 species